UACGUGUUGUGCAAGCAAGUGGUCUCAUCAAUCGUAAAUCACAUUGGAGCUUCCAGAUCUGACAAGUAUAUUCCCUUUCUCCGUACAAGCGGUGUGUUCCAAGCAUGUGACGACUUUCAUGACCCUGUUUCAUCAUCAAGUAUUGAAGUUCAUCUUGCGUCAGAUCUAAACAAAU